rnacentral:rRNA from 1 species
GAAUAUUGGACAAUGGGCGAAAGCCUGAUCCAGCCAUGCCGCGUGUGUGAAGAAGGUCUUCGGAUUGUAAAUCACUUUAAGUUGGGAGGAAGGGCAGUAAGCGAAUACCUUGCUGUUUUGACGUUACCGACAGAAUACGCACCGGCUACCUCUGUCCCAGCAUCCGCGGUAAUACAGAGGGUGCAAGCGUUAUUCGGAAUUACUGGGCGUAAAGGGCGCGUAGGUGGUUCGUUAAGUUGGAUGUGAAAUCCCCGGGCUCAACCUGGGAACUGCAUCCAAAACUGGCGAGCUAGAGUAGGGCAGCGGGUGGUGGAAUUUACUGUGUAGCGGUGAAAUGCGUAGAUAUAGGGAGGAACACCAGCGGCGAAGGCGACCACCUGGGCUCAUACUGACACUGAGGUGCGAAAGCGUGGGGAGCAAACAGG